rnacentral:lncRNA from 1 species
GGUUGUUCCUCCGUACUCGCCGCUGCACUGCCCCAGCACCUUCUGCAGGGCUUUGGACGCUCACCACAGCUUUGGCCUGCCCAUGUGCAGUUGGGUAUCUGGUUUGGAAUGAAUGUUUUCUUCAACCUGCCACAUGCUGGAAGGGGGCCGAAGUAUGCAUACAUAUAGAAGGGGCUGUGUAACUGGAAAAUGAGAUUUGUCAAGAUUUAGUAUCUACAUGUGCGAACUGAGAUCAAAUAGAACGUUUUUAUUUACAAGGGUAAGUUGCAGUUAAAAAAU